UACGUAGGGUGCGAGCGUUAUUCGGAAUUACUGGGCGUAAAGGGUGCGCAGGCGGCCGCGCAAGUCGAGUGUGAAAGCCCCGGGCUUAACUUGGGAAUUGCGCUCGAAACUACGUGGCUGGAGUGUGGCAGAGGAAGGUGGAAUUCCACGUGUAGCGGUGAAAUGCGUAGAGAUGUGGAGGAACACCGAUGGCGAAGGCAGCCUUCUGGGCCAACACUGACGCUCAUGCACGAAAGCGUGGGGAGCAAACAGG
rnacentral:rRNA from 1 species